UACGUAGGGUGCAAGCGUUGUCCGGAAUUAUUGGGCGUAAAGCGUCCGCAGGUGGCUGUGUAAGUCUGCUGUUAAAGAGUGAGGCUCAACCUCAUAAAGGCAGUGGAAACUACAUGGCUAGAGUGCGUUCGGGGCAGAGGGAAUUCCUGGUGUAGCGGUGAAAUGCGUAGAGAUCAGGAAGAACACCGGUGGCGAAAGCGCUCUGCUAGGCCGCAACUGACACUGAGGGACGAAAGCUAGGGGAGCGAAUGGG
rnacentral:rRNA from 1 species